ensembl:lncRNA
CUCUGGUACGAGUGCGCCACGUACCGGACGCCGCACCCCGACGCCUUCCAGUGCGCCGUGGUGGGCGAGCUCGUCUACUGCGUGGGGCGCCGGCGCACGCUGCGCUUCCUGGCCGACCGCAUCUCGCCCAGGUUUGUGCCCGAAAUGCUGCAGGCCUUCCCCUCCCCGCAGGGCACCCUCCUGCCCACCGUCCUGACCUUGCCCGGUCCUGAUGUGCCCCAGACCAGGGUCUAGCAGCCCAUCUGCUGGGCUCCUUCUGCAAGACUAGACGGAAAAACAGCCCCUACCCAUCGCGGCAUGGGCCAUUUCUGGGCGAUCGGGGCGCAGGGGAAUCUGGCCGGCAAGAGGUGAAUUUCAACCCCACCUGCUCCACCGUCUGGGCUUCUUAGCUGCGUCUUGCCCUCUCUGGGCAGCAGCCCUAGUGUGAAAAUGAGACUGAGGACUGAUGCUCUGAGGCCCAGGGUGCCCACAUCUGCAGGGUUGGCCACCAUCUUGCUUGAGGACUGAAUUUGGUGGGGAGGGGGUACCAGGACCCCAGCAAAGUUCAGUGGCACAGCCUUAUCACAGGCACAGUUCCAGAGGUUUUUUGACUCCCAGUGACCCCUCAAGCUGACCCUGCUGAAUCUGGGCCAGCCCUCUCUAAGCCAGCAGGGCCUCUUCCUAACCUUUGGGCACUGAGCCCCAACCUCCAGAAGCACCUGGGACACACACACAGGUGGAGAAAAUCAAGGGGGGCUGUUCAGCAGGACUAGGACAAGCCCGGGGAGCCCCAGGGGGCCCAGCCAGAGGGAGCGAUGGCUGGAGGAGCAGCAGAGGGCCAGUUGAAGCCGCCCACGGGAACUCUUGCCUGCGGAGUGAAUUGACCAAAGCCUGCUUUGCUUUUUCUCGUUACAUGGAAUUCCAGUAUACUGGAAAGAGGAGAAGCCUCCAUGUUUAGCGUCCGUUUAUAAAGGCACAUCUGUUUGCAGGGUCUACGGAGAAUACAGUUGAUGGCAAGGAAAAUAAAAAAAGUGAUCCAAGGGCCACCCUCCUGCUGGGCCCAUUGUUGUUUGGCCACCGCACUCUCUCCCCAGAUCUCAGAACCCUUCACAGUCCAGCCACUCGUUCAACCCAGCCCUCACCGUGGGAGCUGGGGGCAGCCCUUCCAGGGUGUGAGAGGGGAUGGCACCCUUUGCCUUCCCUGUGCCUGUGGUCGCCUGGUCUGCCUCAUCAGACAGGAGCAGGCCAGGGAGGGGCAGGCCCACGGUGGAGCUGAGGGACCAGCAAGCUCUCCUGCUACACCGGGAGGCUGGGCCCUCCCUUCACAUCAGGUUUGGCAAAUUCUCGGAGGGAGGACAGCUUCCACCCUUGAGAAGUUACCUUUUCUUCCCAGAAGGAGGGGAGAGAGACUAGUCCAGUGUAUUACCGUGGCCCUGUUCCAUCUCCAAGGGAGAUGCGUAUACCGACAGGAAAGCAGUCGUGCUCUUGGUACCAGCCGGAAGCCAGGAGAGCCGGGACUACUUCUAAAGAGGACAGAUAGAAAGAAGGAAGGCAUGAGCUGGAACUCGACUUCUGACAGUGCAGCCUGUCUGAGGUUGGAUUCUUUGCAAACAGUGCCUGAGAGCAGACAGCACAUGUGUGUGAGUUCUUGAGGAAAUGCUCCCAAAGGAAGUUAGCAAGGCUGCAGGAGAGGCAGCGGGGAGAGAAGCGAAGGAGCCACACCAGAGGGGAGACCGUCGCAGCCUGAUCCUCUCGCAGACAGACGGGCCUGGGAUGAGCAACCUCAUCAGGAGAGAGAAAACGUCUUUCUGGGGCAGCAGCAGCCUCUGCCACACAUCCAUUUUCUCUCACUUUAAAGGAAACCAAGACUUCCAUUCUGGACACACUAAGGACAUGUGACAAGGCUCAACAAAGUUUUCUCUACAGAGCCUCAGUUCAGUCUCUCAGUCGUGUCCGACUCUUUGCGACCCCAUGAAUCG